GACGAACGCUGGCGGCGUGCUUAACACAUGCAAGUCGAACGAAAAGAGGGAAAGAGCUUGCUCUUUCCGGAAUUGAGUGGCAAACGGGUGAGUAACACGUAAACAACCUGCCUUCAGGAUGGGGACAACAGACGGAAACGACUGCUAAUACCGAAUAAGUUCCAAGAGCCGCAUGGCCCACGGAAGAAAAGGUGGCCUCUACCUGUAAGCUAUCGCCUGAAGAGGGGUUUGCGUCUGAUUAGCUGGUUGGAGGGGUAACGGCCCACCAAGGCGACGAUCAGUAGCCGGUCUGAGAGGAUGAACGGCCACACUGGACCUGAGACACGGUCCAGACUCCUACGGGAGGCAGCAGUGGGGAAUCUUCCGCAAUGGGCGAAAGCCUGACGGAGCAACGCCGCGUGAGUGAUGACGGCCUUCGGGUUGUAAAACUCUGUGAUCCGGGACGAAAAGGCAGAGUGCGAAGAACAAACUGCAUUGACGGUACCGGAAAAGCAAGCCACGGCUAACUACGUG
rnacentral:rRNA from 1 species